rnacentral:lncRNA from 1 species
AUUUACUUUUUUUUUAAAACAAGGAGGUCACAUAAUAACCUCUGAAUCCUUUUCGUCAUUAAAAUGCGACUGAUAAGUAUAGAUAUUCAAUAUGAAAAGGGGGAAAAAAUAACCGUGACUGAAAUCUAAAUCUAAAAUUUGUUUUAAAAAAAUACACAUUUGACCAUGCAGAUGUAAGAAAUGAUACUUCAAGCAAUGAAACAACGAAUUAAAUGUGCCACUUUAAUUACGACUGAUAACCUAAAAAUGAAUCAUGCAUGCAUUUUUAGCAGACUUAACCAGGUCGGCGAUAAGAUAUCGAAUAUAAAAAAAGAAGAUAUCGGGUUUGGUGUCAAUGAGACAACUAUCUACAAGAAACCAAAAUAACACAGAAAUACAAACUAUGGGUCACCGUACGGCCUUCAACAACAGACAAAGCACGUACCGCAUAGUCGGCUAUAAAAGGCCCCGAAAUGACAAUGUAAAACAAUCAGUCAAAAAAGAAAAUUAACAAAGUCCGUAU